CCAAUAGCGUAUAUUAAAGUUGUUGCAGUUAAAAAGCUCGUAGUUGAACUUCGGGAUUUAUUCAUUGGUCAGGCUUAAUUGUCUGUACUGGUGAGAUAAAUCUCUACCUUCUGAGGAACUUUCAUGCCAUUUAUUUGGUGUGAUUGGAAAUCAGGACUAUUACUUUGAAAAAAUUAGAGUGUUUAAAGCAGGCUAACGUCUGAAUACAUUAGCAUGGAGUAAUGAAAUAGGACGGACUGGUUCUAUUUUGUUGGUUUCUAGGAUCACCGUAAUGAUUAAUAGGGAUAGUUGGGGGCAUUAGUAUUCAAUUGUCAGAGGUGAAAUUCUUGGAUUUAUUGAAGACUAACUACUGCGAAAGCAUUUGCCAAGGAUGUUUUCAUUAAUCAAGAACGAAAGUUAGGGGAUCGAAGACGAUCAGAUACCGUCGUAGUCUUAACCAUAAACUAUGCCGACUAGGGAUCGGACGAAGUUAAUUUUAUAAUGACGCGUUCGGCACCUUACG
rnacentral:rRNA from 1 species